UUUUCAAAUAUGAUAAAACUUAUUAACUUAUUAUCAUCUUUUAUUAUUUUUGGAUUGUAUACUUCUUUAUCUGUGGAUUAAUAUUUAAAUCACAAUACAAGCAUGCCUAACGUUGACUUGUUGUUUAGAUCCGGCUAGACAUGGAGAGUUUUUGAGAUUCCAUAAGUAUAAAUCACGUAUUUCAUAUAUAACCACAACCAAUAUAAUGUAAUUAAUCUAUAAACAAAGUGAAUAACCCAUUCUUAAUGUUAGUUUGUUGUUUAUUAAUAUAUUUUCUUUAUAUUUUCAUUGUUAGUUUUCAUUAUGUUAAUAAAGUUUUCAUUAUGUUAAUAAAGUUGUUGCAUUUUCCACAGAACUUACUUACAGAUAGUUGCUUUCAUAAUUUCAUAGGGUUUUGUUGUUAUUUUUAGUUCGAUCUACCCAGCCUAUCUGCAUUGGGUGCCUGCCUCAACUGCAUUGGGUGUUACAUCUUCAGCUGCUACAAGUGGAUUUAUGGGUCCAAAAAAAAGUGGAGUUAUGUUUUCGGAUGCACUGAAAAAAGUGUAAUGUGGUUGGAGAAGACUGGGGGGUUGGGGAGAGGGCGUUGUGCGGUGCACACAUCCCAGCCAUAAAGUCAAUAUAUACAACACUUUUAAAUGCUGUAAAGUAAGAAAAUAAAAUUUAAACUUUUUAACACAUAAUAUAAUCAGUGUUUUUUGGGUUAAAGUAUUCAUAAGAAUGGAACAUUUCACUACGAGGGUGUUAAAACGUAACAAAGACAUCGACCCUUUAUUCUAAAAUAGACCACUAAUAUUUGGAAAUGGAAUGGAAGCAAAUUGGAACAACUUUUUGUGUAUAAAGGUGACAUAUUUUAUCAGAAAAACACUCUUUCGUGUAAAAAACUUGUAUUUUUUUUAAGGUUACGAGGGUGUUUCAUACCCCCUCCGGCCCUCUAGACACCCUUUUAUCUAUAGAGUUAUAUAAACUUGUAGCCUACUCUUACAUCUAUCUUUUGAUACCAAGGUAUAGACAUUUAUAUAAGAUUUGACAAAGUUAUAACAAUUUCAGUGA
rnacentral:lncRNA from 1 species